GACGUAGGGGGCCAGCGUUGUUCGGAAUUACUGGGUGUAAAGGGUUCGUAGGCGGUGUGGCAAGUCGGGAGUGAAAUCAUCUGGGCCGUCAACCCCAGAGACGGCUUCCAAAACUGCCGUGCUUGAGUGUGGGAGAGGCUCGUGGAAUUGCAGGUGUAGCGGUGAAAUGCGUAGAUAUCUGCAGGAACACCCGUGGCGAAAGCGGCGAGCUGGACCACUACUGACGUGAAGAACGAAAGCUAGGGGAGCAAACAGG
rnacentral:rRNA from 1 species